UUGCUGCUCAAUGAAGGAAACAAUGUUAGAGACAAAAUUAUGCAGGCGUGUCUAUUGUAACUGAAGCAAUUCCUCGUGAAGUGUGUCAUUUUGUUCAGGUAAUCAAUAGUAUUGCACAAGAUGCACUAAACAUUAUCAACUCUCACAAGAAUCAAUAGAUCCAUGCAAUGAAUUAUGUGGAUACAAAUGACAUGGAUGACUAAAAUAGUAGGAGGGAUAAAUCAAUGAAGUUUAGUUCACGCUAUUGCUGCUCAAUGAAGGAAACAAUGUUAGAGACAAAAUUAUGCAGACGUGUCAAUUGUAACUGAAGCAGUUCCUCGUGAAGUGUCAUUUUGUUGAGGUAAUCAAUAGUAUUGCACAAGAUACACUAAACAUUAUCAACUCUCACAAGAAUCAAUAGAUCCAUGCAAUGAAUUAUGUGGAUGCAAAUAACAUGCAUGACUAAAAUGGCAGGAGGGAUAAAUCAGUGAAGUUUAGUUCACGCUGGUUAGAUGGUCAAGUUUUCCCUUGUUGUCGAUCAAUAGGUUCACACAUUGGGCCCAUUCUAAUUAAUUUUUACCAUUCAGUUUAUGAACGGUUAAUUGAAAUGAAGAGUUUAGAUUGUUGGUGUCAAAAUUCUGGAUUGAUGUUGAGGAGACAUUUUGAAUGCUGUCCUCAUCUCCCCUGGAUGUAACCGAGCUUCUGGUAGCUUUGAUAAUGGCAGAAGUAUACCAUCUGCUUCAAAAUUUGGCAUAUCAGACUUCCAGGUCAUGUAGAGUGCCC
rnacentral:lncRNA from 1 species